rnacentral:rRNA from 1 species
ACGGGGGGAGCAAGCGUUGUUCGGAAUUACUGGGCGUAAAGGGCUCGUAGGCGGCCAACUAAGUCAGACGUGAAAUCCCUCAGCUUAACUGGGGAACUGCGUCUGAUUCUGGAUGGCUUGGAUUUGGGAGAGGAAUGCGGAAUUCCAGGUGUAGCGGUGAAAUGCGUAGAGAUCGGGAGGAAGGCCGGUGGCGAAGGCGGCGCUCUGGAACAUUUCUGACGCUGAGGCUCGAAAGCGUGGGGAGCAAACAGGA